UGGGGAAUCUUGCGCAAUGGGGGAAACCCUGACGCAGCGACGCCGCGUGCGGGAUGAAGGCCUUCGGGUUGUAAACCGCUUUCAGCAGGGACGAGGCCUUAUGGUGACGGUACCUGCAGAAGAAGCUCCGGCUAAAUACGUGCCAGCAGCCGCGGUAAUACGUAUGGAGCAAGCGUUAUCCGGAUUCAUUGGGCGUAAAGAGCUUGUAGGCGGUUCGUCGCGUCUGGUGUGAAAGCCCAUCGCUUAACGGUGGGUUUGCGCCGGGUACGGGCGGGCUAGAGUGCAGUAGGGGAGACUGGAAUUCCCGGUGUAACGGUGGAAUGUGUAGAUAUCGGGAAGAACACCAAUGGCGAAGGCAGGUCUCUGGGCUGUUACUGACGCUGAGAAGCGAAAGCGUGGGGAGCGAACAGG
rnacentral:rRNA from 1 species